rnacentral:rRNA from 1 species
GACGUAGGGUGCGAGCGUUGUCCGGAUUUAUUGGGCGUAAAGAGCUCGUAGGCGGUUUGUCGCGUCGGGAGUGAAAACUCAGGGCUUAACCCUGAGCCUGCUUCCGAUACGGGCAGACUAGAGGUAUGCAGGGGAGAACGGAAUUCCUGGUGUAGCGGUGAAAUGCGCAGAUAUCAGGAGGAACACCGGUGGCGAAGGCGGUUCUCUGGGCAUUACCUGACGCUGAGGAGCGAAAGUGUGGGGAGCGAACAGG